rnacentral:rRNA from 1 species
CCUACGGGGGGCAGCAGUGGGGAAUUUUGGACAAUGGGGGCAACCCUGAUCCAGCCAUGCCGCGUGAGUGAAGAAGGCCUUCGGGUUGUAAAGCUCUUUCGGCCGGGAAGAAAUCGCUUCGGCUAAUACCUGGAGUGGAUGACGGUACCGGAAGAAGAAGCACCGGCUAACUACGUGCCAGCAGCCGCGGUAAUACGUAGGGUGCGAGCGUUAAGCGGAAUGUGUGGGGGCGAAGCGUGCGCAGGCGGUUGAAAUCCCCGGGCGUAACCUGGGAACUGCGGUUGUGACUGCGAGACUUGAGUGCGGCAGAGGGGGGUGGAAUUCCACGUGUAGCAGUGAAAUGCGUAGAGAUGUGGAGGAACACCGAUGGCGAAGGCAGCCCCCUGGGUCGACACUGACGCUCAUGCACGAAAGCGUGGGGAGCAAACAGGAUUAGAUACCCUAGUAGUC